rnacentral:rRNA from 1 species
UACGUAGGGUGCAAGCGUUGUCCGGAAUUAUUGGGCGUAAAGAGCUCGUAGGCGGUUCGUCGCGUCGGCUGUGAAAUCCCGAGGCUCAACCUCGGGUCUGCAGUCGAUACGGGCGGACUGGAGUUCGGCAGGGGAGACUGGAAUUCCUGGUGUAGCGGUGAAAUGCGCAGAUAUCAGGAGGAACACCGGUGGCGAAGGCGGUUCUCUGGGCCUUACCUGACGCUGAGGAGCGAAAGCGUGGGGAGCGAACAGG